AUACGGAGGGUGCAAGCGUUAUUCGGAAUCAUUGGGCGUAAAGGACGCGUAGGCGGGUUGGCAAGUCAGAUGUGAAAUCCUACAGCUUAACUGUAGAACUGCAUUUGAAACUGCUAACCUAGAGUAUGGGAGGGGGAGAUGGAAUUAGUGGUGUAGGGGUAAAAUCCGUAGAUAUCACUAGGAAUACCGAAAGCGAAGGCGAUCUCCUGGAACAUAACUGACGCUAAGGCGUGAAAGCGUGGGGAGCAAACAGGAUUAGGUACCCUAGUAGUCC
rnacentral:rRNA from 1 species